AGGUGCCUUGGUAAGGUCGAAGGGACCUGGAAGAGGUUGUUCCUCUCCCCCACCGCUCCCUUUUCUUAUUCUCCUAGAUCUGGGUGCCCUUCGUGAGAGCCGAAACCCAGCUGGUCGUGGAAAGGACCCUGGCAAUUGGCAAGGGCACAAGCUACAGCCACUCCCAGUUCGUCCCAAGUUAAUGAGCAUCUGGCAGAAAUUCUGAAUACUCAGAUUGUUGUGCCUUAGUUGUGAGAGAACAGUGGGAAACUAACACUGAACAUGCCUGUAUAAAGCUUCCAGAGAGAGACAACAGAGAAAGAAAGAGAUGCAGAGACAAAGACACAGAUACCCCCCAAUGGAGACUUCAUACCUCAGUCCAUUCCCAAUCUCAGCCAGCUCUGACCACGGGCCUGUGCAAGGUGGCCUCGGUGUGAACCCAGGACCUUC